rnacentral:rRNA from 2 species
CACGUAGGGACCGAGCGUUGUCCGGAUUUAUUGGGCGUAAAGAGCUCGUAGGCGGUCGUGUAAGUCGGGUGUGAAAUCUCCAGGCUCAACUUGGAGGGGCCACCCGAUACUGCUCGACUCGAGUCCGGUAGGGGAGUGGGGAAUUCCUGGUGUAGCGGUGAAAUGCGCAGAUAUCAGGAGGAACACCGGUGGCGAAGGCGCCACUCUGGGCCGGUACUGACGCUGAGGAGCGAAAGCGUGGGUAGCAAACAGG